rnacentral:rRNA from 1 species
AUACGUAGGGGGCAAGCGUUAUCCGGAUUUACUGGGUGUAAAGGGAGCGUAGGCGGCGAAGCAAGUCAGAUGUGAAAAUCCAGUGCUCAACAUUGGACGUGCAUUUGAAACUGUUUAGCUAGAGUACCGGAGAGGUAAGAGGAAUUCCUAGUGUAGCGGUGAAAUGCGUAGAUAUUAGGAGGCACACCAGUGGCGAAGGCGGCCUGCGGGACGACAACUGACGCUGAGGCGCGAAAGCGUGGGGAGCAAACAGGAUUAGAUACCCUGGUAGUCCACGCUGUAAACGAUGAAUACUAGGUGUGGGGGGACUGACCCCCUCCGUGCCGCAGUUAACACAAUAAGUAUUCCACCUGGGGAGUACGAUCGCAAGAUUGAAACUCAAAUGAAUUGGCGGGG